rnacentral:rRNA from 1 species
UGAGGAAUAUUGGUUAAUGGGCGCAAGCCUGAACCAGCCAUCCCGCGUGCAGGAAGACGGCCCUAUGGGUUGUAAACUGCUUUUCCAGGGGGAGAAUUUUUCUGUCGUGACAGGAAUUGACGGUACCAUGGGAAUAGGCAUCGGCUAACUCCGUGCCAGCAGCCGCGGUAAUACGGAGGAUGCGAGCGUUAUCCGGAUUUAUUGGGUUUAAAGGGUGCGUAGGCGGAUUGAUAAGUCAGUGGUGAAAACCUGCAGCUUAACUGUAGACUUGCCGUUGAUACUGUCAGUCUUGAGUGUGGUCAAGGUAGGCGGAAUGUGUAAUGUAGCGGUGAAAUGCUUAGAUAUUACACAGAACACCGAUUGCGAAGGCAGCUUACUGGGCCAUUACUGACGCUGAGGCACGAAAGCGUGGGGAUCGAACAGG